ACCGCCGCCGGACGGAACUGGUCGCGAGGGUUGGGGAGCCCGAUGACCGACCGGAUUUCGAGGCCGCCCGAGUUGAUAGGGAGCUCGGCGUGAGCCGCUCUGGCGAAGGAG
rnacentral:sRNA from 21 species